rnacentral:rRNA from 1 species
UACGUAGGGCGCAAGCGUUGUCCGGAAUUAUUGGGCGUAAAGAGCUCGUAGGCGGCUUGUCACGUCGAUUGUGAAAGCCCGAGGCUUAACCUCGGGUCUGCAGUCGAUACGGGCUAGCUAGAGUGUGGUAGGGGAGAUCGGAAUUCCUGGUGUAGCGGUGAAAUGCGUAGAUAUCGGAAGGAACAUCAGUGGCGAAAGCGACUUCCUGGACCAGUACCGACGUCAGGCACGAAAGCGUGGGGAGCAAACAGG